GCCUAGAGGGUAGCUGAGGAACAAAUGGAAGCUGCAGCAGGACAAAGACCCAGCCAGUACUAAAAGCUGGGUCCAUGAACAGCUUCUUGAAAUGGUGUGUGGUCGUGCUUAGCUGAGCAUGCUGUGGGACUCAUGAUGUUGGAAAAUGAGGGGGCAAUGAAGACUUAAAGAUGGGAUGGAAAAACAGCUAAAAAAAACAAAACAGAAGGGGAACAAGAAACAAAACAGAAAAAAAGCUGGCCACGGUAGCUCAUGCCUGUAAUCCCAGCAAUUCAGGAGGCCAAGGUGGGAGAAUCACUUGAGGUAAGAAGGUUGAGACCAGCCUGGGCAACAUAGCAAGAUCCUUGUCUCUACAAAAUUAAAAAAAAAAUUAGCUGGGCAUGAUGGCACACAUCUGUAGUCCCAGCCAUUCAGGAGGCUAAGGUGGGAGGAUCACUGGAGUCCUGGAGCUCAAAGGUGCAGCAAGGUAUGAUUAUGCCACCGCACCCCAGCCUGGGCAACACAACCAGACCUUGUCUCAGAAAAAAAACAAAAAAAAAUGGGGGCAGGUAGAGAAAAAAGUAUUUCCAGAAUUUUUUACAAUUAAAACAUAUAUCUAGCUAUUAAAAGUAAUGACAGCAAAAAGAUUUCCAAA
rnacentral:lncRNA from 10 species